CCGGGCGGGCAGGGCCGAGCCCGGUGACCGUCCGUCUUAAGCCCGCUGCCCUUGUGAAGGUCUUGGAGGAGAUCCCUGGCCCCCACAGACGCGACCGGCCCCGCGUAGGCGGGCCCAGCCCGGCCUGGGGCUCGGGCCCCAAAUCCCGGGCCUGCCCGUGACUCCUGCCGCCCGCCAGCGGCUGGCCGAGGUCAGGUCGGGGGCCAGGGUGACCCGCAGUAAGGAACUCGGCGUUUGUGCUGCCCCUGCGCCCCGCCCCCUCCCACCCUCCGGGUUUCCUCUGCGCCACCAAGCCUGCAGGUCCAGUGACCCGGGCAGGGAGCCCCGCCCUGGGGGAAUCUGUACCCGAGGAGGGGGGAAUGUCGCCGCUGGGAUGCCCUCGGAAGGAGUUUAGAACCCGAAUUCAGCCAGGAACCUGACAGUUCUGGAAGAAUUAAACUUUUUUAUUGGGAGCACUGUGACUGCCGAAGCCACUUUAGGUGCAGGCGCGGGGGCUGCGUGGUAAUGGAUGCUUGCUUGCUCUGCUCUGGCCGACGGGGCAGUGCUGAGUUCGGUGACUGUAUAUGUAAAAUCUAUGACCAAUUUUAUGACUUUAGCCACUUUUGAAAGGCAGGAGUCUUUUUGUAUUGUAGGCUGACCUGAUUUUAAAUCAGCAGAUUCUUGGUUUAAUAGCCAGGGAACUACAGGUAGUGUUUUGACUGAUUUGUGCCCUUGAGUAAAGUCCCUCAUCUUUGGGGGGCUCCUCAAUGUUAAUGAAGGUGGUAUUUUACAUAAUAAGGAGCUAGAGAACCACACUAAGAGGAAAAUAGACCUGUGCAAUU